ACCUGGGUGGCUCAGUCAGUUGAGCAUCUGACUUCGACUCAGGUCACGAUCUCACCAUUCAUGGGUUCAAGUCCCAUGUCAGGCU
rfam:Felis catus isolate Cinnamon breed Abyssinian chromosome C1, whole genome shotgun sequence.